rnacentral:lncRNA from 1 species
UCCAUUUCCAAAUUAGGCAUUCGGAGUAGCUUUUUGUAAGCUUCACCGUCAGUUGGUUCCUUUUCUGGAUCAAGAUCAACCACUUCCAUAGGUUCCGCUUUUAUGUGCUCAAUGAGGAACGUUACUACUUCACCGCAACCUACUCUCGCGGCAACAUGUAGAGGAGUUUCGCCAUUCUUGUUGGUGGCCCAAAACCGGGGAGAUUCGGGAAUUUUUUUCACUUUUUUGAAGAAGUUUAUUUGCUUGAAUUCAGCUGCAAUGUGAAGAAUAUUGUUCUCUUUAGGUGUUUUCUGAGAGAGAUCAGCUGUUAGAAGUCCUUCCAAGAAGCCAACAUCACCAGUUGCAGCUGCUUCAUACAGAGAAGGAUUCAUGCUUCCACCUCUCUCUCAGAUUUCCUAAAAAGUAUAACGUUGAAAUAAGAACACAAAUGCAAAUUGCAAUGGAGGAUUUGUGAACCAUAUAUAGGUCACUUACAGGAGGUUGCCAAUUGCAUGCCAAGUAGGCAAGUAGCCAUGCCAAGUAGGCAAUGCCUACUACCAUUCAAAACACUUGUGCCGUCCACCAUUCAAAACACUUUGUUUAUUUUUUCUUCUCUUCUUGUCAGUAACCCAUUCAAAACUUUUAUUUUUUAUAUUAUUUUUCUUUCUUUUUCCCACAUGGUGCCGGGCACCAUUCAAAACUCUUUGUUUAUAUUAUUUUUUAUCCUUUUCGGUGUCAGAAAACAUGUGCUUGUGUUUAUCUCCUAACAUUUUUUAAUCUUAGAUUUUUGUCCACUACAAACCUUAUCCAAAGCAGAUGAGAGACGUGAGGCAGGGAAGGACAAAACAGACUUCUUGCUGUAGCAAAGUGUGAACAGUACGGAACCAAAGCAGAAACCAAGUGCAUUCCCGCUCUUUAACUGUUGGUGAACAGUACACGCUCUCACAUAAUGAACAGUGCCAAUCAACUGGACUUUAGCAUGUAUAAAUAUAUAUACACACACAUAUAUAUUAUGGUUGUUGUAUUUUAUAGUUAAAUUUUAUUAAUAAUUUAAAAAAUUAAAAUCAUCGAAAUAAUUUUUUUUUAACGUAUCAAAACGAUUUACCAACGUGUCAUCCUCGGAUAAACUUGUUAAGGAUACAUUAUUAAUAAGUUCUUAUCGUGUAAUCCAAUAACAACCUAAUUAAUUAUUGUGUUGAUCCAAAAUUCUUUAUUUUUAUGUUUAUGUGUCGUGUUAACAAAUCAUGUAAAAAAAAUGUCCGGUUUACUUUUCAACUUUAAAUUAUUAAUUCGUUCAAUGUUGGUGUCUUUGUCUUUUGGGUUAAAAAAUGCACUGUCAACUAUCAUUGUCAUCGAAUAGUCUGUCAGUCUUCCAAGGAAACUUGUAAGUAUUUUCGUCCGGAAAACUGCCAAAACCAAGAUCACAAUUUCUGUCAAAGUAUUCCAUAAACGUGAAUAAUUAGUGAAUUAAUGCGUUAUAUGAAAAUGCAUACAUUUACUAUUUGGUCUUGGCAGAAAUUGUGAUGCAAUUUCUGGAACGAGAAUUCUCUCCGAAUUCUCUUUGUGAGGAUUCCGAAAAUUCUUCAAUCAUGUCUGUUCAUCAUAUAUGAUAUGAUCAUUUUUUGUCAGGUAUUAUUUGUAUUUAAUUUUAAAUAAAAAAAUUAAAAUACUUUCUGACAGCACGAUAUAUGAUAAACGGAUACGAUUAAAAGAUAUAUGGAAUCUUCACAAAGAAGAUUAAAAAAGAAUCCUCAUUCCGAUUUCUGAAUGGACUUGUCAAAGUCCCGUGUUGUCUCCUACCAUGAAAUUCAAACAUGUCACAUGGGCUCAACGCACUUAGCUUAAACUAGAAAAUGUGUGCGUGCUUUGUUGCGGACAUUGAAUGUAUUAUCCACAGACACACGUGAAUAAUUUCCACACAAAGUAACUAAAAAGAUGGGGUAUUACCUAAGAACCAAUGAAGUGAAACUUUGCUUGCUAUGUAUGGAUAUGCAUGCUAUAAGAAACCAUUCAUUUGUAGAUCAUAUUGCGUCAUCAGUAUUAUACUCAUACUCUCAGGUGAUCAGCCUACUACAUGAGAAAAACACAGAAAAGGCAAAUCACAAAAGUAGAAGACAACAUUUGAGCAUCUAGCAAGAAUAGUUAGUUUUUGAAAAAAUUGCUAAACAGUCUUACAAAUUCAAUUGUUAAAUGUUACACUAUGACCUAAGAUAAAAAUAAAGUAUAGGAAACUUUAACGAAAAAUCACAUUUUUACACUAAAAAGUCAAUCCUAAUACUAUUCCCUUUACCCUUUAUUUUGUCUUUAUCGUUAAAACUCAGUUUUCAAAUCAUUUUCAUUAGUUUUCCUUAGUUUUCCUUGAAGUUAUAUAGUUCAUUCACAUAUCAAAACAAAGUGCGAUCAAAGGAAAAUGAUUAAGAAGUUGAAAAUACAAAACUGGAUUAGGCAACCAUAUCUUUUAUCGGUAACUAAACAAAUAAUUUAGAAUUGUACAAACCCGAUUCUAGCUCAUCUACCUCCUCUCAUCCUCAGCUCUGUAUUUCAAAGGCUGAGUAGCCACGUUUGGAGAAGUUAUCAAAUAAUCACCAUCUGAAGAUUGAGAAUAACCUCCAUUCACAUUGCAAAUUUUUUUUUAGAAAAUGGGACAAAUUAACAUAUUUAGAGUUAAUUAUUCUGAUGCAAACAUUCUUAAGAUAAAUUAAGUAGAAAAAAUGUAACGAAUCCAAUGAAAAAACAGAAGGAAAAUGAUUUAAAGAAAAGUUAAACUUUAAAUACAUCACAUUAGUGAUUAAUCAACUAGAUAGUUAGUCUCAAACCAGAGUCUCAAUGAUCUCGCAAUACCAGGGACAUCACUCUCCCUGUUAACUCUCAACUACCUCAACUCCAUCACUCUCCCCCCCAUUGUUUCUAAUUCACCUCUCCUUCGAACUCUUCGACUACAAAUUUAUAUAUAGCAACUUGAACUGUCCAUUUCAAAUCAUAUAUACAUAGGCAGAAAAGCAAAAACUAAAUUCCUGCCGCAUAAAUUAAUUGGUAACCAAACAAAGAAAAAUUCUUGGAGACUGGAACAAAUCCAAUUGAAUUUUCAUGAAACGUAUACUUAAGUGCCCAAAAUUUGAGUUUUACAUCAUAUUAUGUUCUUACAAAAACAGUUUCUCGGCUGCUAGGUAAUUUCUGUGGCUUUUGAUCAAUAGUUGUACUUAUAUACCCAAAAAAAUAAAAUAGUCAAACACAAAUGAAAGAAAGACCUAUCAAAUUAAUAAGAAAUCCAAGUUAGAGUUGUUAAAAUUCACUUUUAUCUAUACAAUUCAAACUUCCACACAUUUGUUCAUACACUUCACCAACUGUCAAACACUGCUAAUUACCAAGAUAGCAAGAUAAUGAAUUCUGUGAACAAAAAAAUGAAAAAUGAUAUGCAAUUUGAACUUACAUGCCAAAGAAGCUCCAUAAGAGUAGUAGCUUCCUACUUAUUGCAUGCAUCAAAAGCAUUGCAACCGCAGAUCCUGAAAAUUAUCAAAAUUCAUCGAGUCAAGAGGCAAUAUCAUAGUUGUGUGAAGGUGAAUAUGCAACCAAUAAUCUAAGAUAUACCUGACAAUUUUGCAAUUCCGUUGUAAUUUCACACAAAAAAAAUAUCAAAUUUUGAUUCAAACAUCAAACAAAAUAAUCCCACCUGUUACAGAUUGGACCAACGAAAUAAAGAAUCUAUUAAUAUGAUUUUCAACCUAACUAUAAAAAGGAGCUUUAUAACUAUCAAUAUAAUUUCAACCCAUCUGAAAAGAAACUGAUUGUGUGUCAUAAAUUCUAUGGGUAAUUUGAUUUUGCAGAUUAAAAAGAAUUGAAGAAUACUAAAAAUUACAAAACCCUAUCACAACAUACCAUCAGCGAUGAAUUAAAUCCAAAUGUAAACUGCAGUUUCUUAUAGAGCAUAUCCAAAAGUAAAUUGCAGUUUCCUAUCUCUCCGAGCAUCUAAACAGAAACUGUAAUUCAAAACUCUGAUUUCAAUAACCCAAAAAGUUUAAAUUGCUUACCGUUCUCUUGACUGUGGAUUACAUUAAGUAUAUGGAGUUUAAAAUUUAAAAACAAAAAGACAAAAAAACAAAAAAACAGAUAACAAAUAGGGAGUAAGAUCAAACAGUGAGUGGUUCAAUUAACCUUUUUCUGUUGGUCGCGUCUGUGAAUCCUUUAAUUUGCAGAAUGAGCUUGGGAACUCUUCCCAAAACUCCCACAAUCAACGCACCUGCGUCAAAAGGGAAAGGAAAAACAGUUGAAUAUUUGAACUGCACCAAACAGAUUGAUUGAUAAAAAAUAAACGAACAUGACACGACCAAUGAAUUUCACCAAACGGGAAGUAAUAAAAUAUUGGACACUGAAUGAGUUGGAAUAAAAACACAACUGCAUUUUCUUAUUCUUCUCCCACAUUCAUGAGGCUUCUUUUUCAUCUUUUUCUCUUCUAAUUUCAAAGAACACAACAAUUAGCACAGCCUGCUAUAAGGUAGAGGAAGCAUAUGAGUCUCCUCAAAAUGGAUGUCCAAGGCUGACCCUUAUGCAGAAGGAAGCAUGGGAAGCAUAAAUGGGAUAUCAAGAGACGAUCUCAAGUAAAUUUGCAACACAAAACCCAACCAGCAACAAUUUGUUCAUGACAUCUUAAAACAUCAAAUUUCAAAACAGGACAUUUAAUGCAAAGAGCUCAAACUAUAAUAAUUGGUGAAUCAAAUAUUUUCUAUUGAAUUUAUCCUUUCAAUUGGUUGGUAUUUUCGUUUAUUCUCGUAUCUUUCAAUUGUCACCCAAAACUAACAUCUGAGAGAGCAUUGCACUUCUUAUCUUUAAAAGCACGAAUGGUGAACUAAAUCAAAGAAUAAGAAUCAGCAAUGAACUAAACAAAAACACACUUUUUACGAACAUUAUUCGCACAAAAAUUAAAACUGUAUUGAGAAACUCACCACCCCAUUUCUAAUGAAUGACGUAUGAUGAUAGGAACAUCAUACGGUGAAUUGCAUAUAAAGUAAAACAUCAAGUAUACCUCGAGGCGACAUUAGAUACGAUCAUUAUCCAAUCUUCAUCUUUGACACCAAGAGCACUCAGCAUCUCAGAAUUCCUCAUCUCCCUACCCUCACAUAGCAACUUCUGCUGCUGAAGUAGUACCCGUGUCUGCUCAUACGCAUCGAAAAACAUCACACAUUCAAUAUACAUUUCUCUAUUAAUUAAUCAGCUAACUAAAUUUAAAAUUAGUUUUCAAACCAAAAAAAUUUCUAAAUUUUUUAUUUUGCAAUCACACCCAGUUCUUCAUCUCUUACUCUAAAUUCCAAUUACAAAAAAAUCUAAACUUUACUUCAAUUUAAUAUUGUUUUCCCCAAAAACAGCACAAUCCCAUAAAAAUAAAGUUUAAAAAAAACAACAAUAAAUCAUGAAUUAAAUUAAACUUCUCACCUCCACCUCCAACAUAGCUUUCACAUUCUCAACCUGUCAUAAAAAAAAUCAAAUCAAAUUCAAGUAAAAAUAAAAAAGAGAACUUGAAUAAAGCAACCCUAGUCCACCCAGUUCUUCGUCUCUUACUCUAAAUCCCAAUUACAGAAAUAUCUAAACUUUACUUCAAUUUAAUAUUGUUUUCCCCAAAAACAGCACAAUCCCAUAAAAAUAAAGUUUAUAAAAAAAACAACAAUAAAUCAUGAAUUAAAUUAAACUUCUCACCUCCACCUCCAAUAGAGCUUUCACAUUCUCAACCAGUCAUAAAAUAAAUAAAUAAAUAAAUCAAAUCAAAUUCAAGUAAAAAUAAAAAAGAUAACUUGAAUAUAGCAACCCUACUCCCCCUCCUUCUCCCUCUCCCUCCGCAAUUCACGCGUGCACCCUCUCCCUCUGUAACCCUCCCCCUGUGAAACCCCUAAACCCCACGCAUAUGCCCUAUAUCUUGUGGCUACAACCUCACAAAUCGUCCCCAUCACCUCGAUCCCAUCGAACCACAAAUCAGGCACAAUUUAUGAGAGUAAUUGUAAAAAUGGAUAAAACACUUUCAAUAAAAGUUUUAUAAAAAAAGCUUUUCAAUCCAACACCAUCCAAAACCAUAAAAGAACAGAAUAAAGACACCAAAAGUAAAAAAUAAAUAAAUUUCCACAUAUUCAACUUUCACAGUAUAGAAACACACAACUUUCACGAUAUUAAAAAAAAAAAUUGUUGGAGAAAAGGCUCAAAGGAAAAAUCCAAAAUUAUUUACCUUGAGCAUAAAGGGCUUUGAAAGAUGUAAACAAAAGCCCCAAAAAAACGAAGAGCAUAGUGACCUGAAAUAAAAAAAUAAAAGCAAAUUAUACAACCGAAAGAUCUAAUGAUAUAAACAAAAUACCCAAAAUUAUAAAAACUAAAUUACAAAAAAUGAAGAACAAUGUGUUCUGAAACGAAAAAAAAAAGAAAAUCAUAUGCCCAAAAUUAUAACGGACGAUUUCAUAUUUUGUAGAUAGAUGACACUCCCUUUUGUCAUGUAUGAUAAAUAUUCAAAGUUAUAACAUCUCAAUUCCACAUAAGGCAGUACACAAACCUUUGGAGAGAUGCCAGUGGACAGUCAAAAGCUGGGUCUCGUGUUGUGGCAACGACUCAUGCUGCUGUUCAUCGAUCACUGCAAAAGAACGCAAAGUUCUAUAUUGCUAUAGUACAUACUAGAGAUUUAUGCCCACGCGUUGCUGCGGGAUUGGAAAUUGUAUCAAAUGGUCUAGAUUAAAACAAUCAAUUCAAUCAAGAUCCAUAUUCUCAACAAACAAACUGUAACGGAGAACGUGAUAGGAUUUGAUCACAAUGCACAGCGGAAUCAACAACUAAUAUUCAACACUACACAAUCCAAAACGGUAAUGAUAUUAAGUUUUUUUUUAAACCUGAUUGUACUAAGUGAUUCUUUCAAUAAUAUGAUAAAUUAAAUAAAAUGAUCACUACCAAUAGUUUAGAUUACAACAAUCAAUUGAAUCAAGAUCCAGACUCCAACAGGACAACUAAAAGCAAAGAGUUGAGAGAAGAAACAACACAAAUGACUGGUUCCCCGAAAACCAUUUAAGUAGAGUUAAAAAAAAGGGGUUAGUCAUGACCAAAUUUAAGAAGUCACUAAAACCAAAGCUCAAUUGCAAACCUCCUUGUAUUCCAUGUAUGCAAUGACUCUACUAAUAUGUUCACAGUCAUGUUGACCUGUAUAAAGAAAAACUCAUUUAGUUCAUAGCAAAUUGUGAGUCAUUCUGAAUAUAAAAACUUGCUUUUUCAAUCACCCAUCUAAAUAAAAAAAUCAACUCCAAAAUUGAUGGUCAGAAGUAUAACUAAAUGAAAUGGGAAAACAGUUCAAGAACCUGCCAAUGUCAAGUACUAUGACUUUGUGGGAUUAAAAAUUGUAUGAAAGAUUGUGUCAUAGAAUAUUACUAAAAUUUACAUUGAAAACGUUAGAAAUUUUUUUACAUACAAUAUACUCAUUUACAAAAGAAAACAGAGCCACUGAAACGAACAGGGAUAUCAACCAAUCAUCGCAGUACAAAACCAGUAAAUACAGCAUUCACAGAACUGAGUGACUCUUACACAAUCCAAACAUAGAAUUUUAGCUUGUUGGUAUCAGAUGAUUAACUCUAAUUACACUAACGCGGACACUAUCUCUGAAGAAAACUAAAGAGAAGGACAAAAGUUGUGAAGAGUUAUCAACCAAAGUACAAAGACCAUAAAGCAUGAAAUGUUAAAGAAGAGCAGAUUUCCUCGCAACUGAUGCAUAUUGCUGUCAUAGCUCUGAGAAUAGCUAACCAAACCAAUCUAACUCUAAAGGCAGCCAUCAUAAAUUAGAAAGCUCAUUCGACAAAAGGCUAUAUUAAAAAAAGGUUCAUGUAUAUGCCCAAUUAUACAAACAAUUUUGCUAAGGAAUGCCUUUCCAACCUCCUCCUACAGCAACAGACUCUGCAUGUACAAUUUGAUAGUGUUUCUACCAGAUAAUAUAGCCAAUGGGAUUAACAAUCAUUAAAGUUGACCCUCCACUACAACUAUACAUUCUGCUAUACAUUCAUUCUCUUGCAAAACGUUCAAAAGGAUGAUAGAAAAUCUUGUGUAUAUAAAUUAUAGCCGAUGGUAUAUGUCAGUUCUCUUCUACCAUUACAACCAAUGAGAUAUAUACAUUCUCUUCUACCAUUAAGAUAUAUAAGAAAAUAACUAUUUAACUGAAAAUGAAGAUCUAAAAGCUAGCCACUGUACAUGUUCUGUCCAUUCUAUUCUACCAUUGAAGCAUGCAUGUUAAAAAAAAUUUGUAAAUCUAAACGCUUAUUUCAAACAGAGCAUGUCCAUUCAGCUCUUAAAACCGAAAGAAAAGAUUUAGGUUUCUUUCUUACCCAAAUCCACCAAUUUGAAUCAAAUCUCUGCAACCCUUCCAAUCAAAUGCAAAUUAAUACAACUCUGCAAUCAAUAAACAAAACCCACAUAAAAAAUUCAACAAAGAAAGAGAAUCCAGAAACCAAACCUAUCAAUCAAUUCCUAAAUCAACAAUAAAAAAAAAUCAAUAAAUUAGUAUCUAACUCCACAAAUAAACAAAGCCCAUAUCAAAUAAUUCACAAAAAUUUAUUACAACUAAAGAAUUACCUUCCAAGGGAUGGAGAUUCCAAGUAGGCUUCCAAUAAUGAUCUGAUCGAUAAGAAAAUACUUGUAGGUCAUGGGAUAUCACUUUGAGAUUUUCAUGGUUUACCUUUUCUUUUAAAAUGGGUUAAUACGUGAUCAUCCAGUCCUCCAACUUUCUGUUUCUCAAUCUUCUGCAAGAGGAUUGAAAUCAGAACCAUUAAGUUUCAGAAGAAACAAAGUCGACAGGAAAAAAAUGGUGUCUCCUACAUCAAACAAUGAAAAUGCAAAUUCCUUGGGCGUAAAAGAAGGGAAGCGUGGAAUGCUUACUCAAGCUCAAUUGAAGUUGAAAGGGUCAGAGACAGAAACAGAAGCCAAGGAGGAGAAAUAACGGUCAACGCCAAAUUUGUGGGUGAGGCGAGUUCGAGAGCGAUAGAUUCAGAUUUUUUUUGUUUUGAAUAUAUAUACAACUAAUUUACCAUUCAAUCAUAUUAGUGGAAAACAAUUAAACCGUAAAAUUAACAACAAUUAAAUCUUAGGAAGACCAAAUUUCCUGUAAUUUAAAAAACCCAUAUGAAAAGCUGUAGACAGUCACCAUCCAAAACCGUAAAACAACACAACAAAGACACCAAAAUUAAAAAAUAAAUAAAUCCCACAGAUUCGACUUUCACACUAUAGAACACACAACCUUCACAAUAUUAAAAAAUAAAAUUUGUGGCAGAAAAGGCUCAAAGGAAAAAACCAAAAUUAUUUACCUUGAGCAUAUUAACGGCUUCCAAGCUUGUACACAGAUUCCCCAAAAAAUGAAGAUCAAAGUGACCUGAAACAAAAUACAGAAGCAGAUCAUACAACCAAACAACAUAUCUAAGGAUAUAAACAAAACACCCAACAUUACAAAAACUAAAUUCCCAAAAACGUAGAGCAACGCGUUCUGACACGAAAAACACAAACAAAUCAUCGACCCAGACAACGGAUCUAAUGAUAUAAAGAAAAUACCCAGAAUAAGAAAAGAAAAGAAAAAAAGUCAUUCACAAAUCCCACCCCAACAUGGAAAACUACCAAAAAAAAAGUCAUUCAGAAAUGAAGAUAAAUAGAACCUUAAUAUGGAAACUGAAGCUUUACCUGCAGAUCGGCAACGGCAAAUGAAAUCCAGCGGGUACCUCUAGAGUGAGAGAGACUUACAGGGAUCGCAGACAAAAACAGAGAAUAACACCAAAAAAAUGGGUACUGACUCGGGUUUUAAACGCAAGAUGCAGCAACUAUUUAUUUUUCAAAGCGUUUUAAACGCAAAAAAUUUGCACAGAUGAUUUGGCUAAGAAAAAUGAGAAAGAUGAGAAAAUCGAAAACGGAGAAAACGAAAGCUUGAGAGAGAAAGAAAGGCAGGCGGAAAAACAGGGUGAGGGGUGAGGGGUGAGGGGUGAGGGAGAGAGAGAGGGGGACAGAUGGGAGAGGCAGAGAGCAGUGAGGGAUGAGAGAGAGUGACAAUGUUGGGAGAUGGGGAGUCUCAGGGGUGGAGAAAAUAUUAGAUAGCAAAAACCAAACACACUUUUCAUAUGUUCUAAUCAUUUUUUUUCUCUCUAAACCAAUUUUUUUAUUAUUUGUUAUCCUUUUCGAUGUCAGAAAACAUGUGCUUGUGUUUAUCUCCUAACAUUUUUUUAAUCUUAUUUUUUUGUCCAAUACAAACCUUAUCCAAAGCUGAUGAGAGACGCGAGGCAGGGAAGGACAAAACAGACUUCUUACUGUAGCAAAUUGUGAACAGUACGGAAACCAAAGAAAAAACCAAGGGCAUUCCCGCCCUUUCACUGUUGGUGAAUAGUGCACGCUCUCACAUGAUGAACAGUACUAAUCAACUGGGCUUUAGAGCAGCUCCAGCGGGAGCUCGUGCUCGAGGGACAGGCUGCGGAACAGGACUUGAUUGCCCGAGGGAAGAAGUCCAGCGUUGGCUGACGAGGGAGCCCAAGCAGGACCGAGCGCCAGACCCGUGGAUUCGUGCCGGCCCGAGCGCCCAAAGGGGAUGUGACGUGGGUUGACGUCCCUGACAUCAGCCACAAUAUAAAAUUAAUAAAAAUACAAAAAUAUUAAUACAAAAUACAAAAUUAAUACAAAAUUUAAAAAAAAUGAAAACCCAGGCUUCGAACUCAACGGCUCUCGCCGGAGUUCGUCGUCGAGGUUGAUGAUACACCCACAAACAAAUGGCAGAGACUAAACCCAAGGGUUUCAACUCGAAACAUAUAAAAAAACAAGAGAAUAACUCAAGCAAUUGAAGUAGGGCAAUAACCUCAUCUGGGUUUGAGCAAUGGAAGCUUGAAGCUCUCGGCUUCAAUGGUGGAUCACCCAAAUGGUGCUGUGAUGAUGCAUGCAAGGAUAUAUUCGAAUUCCUCUCAUCCAGGGGAUUGAGAUUUCAGAGUUUGUUGGUUUGAUUUGCUUCGGUUUCGAAGAAGAGGAAGGAUGAAAAGGAAAAUGAAGGAUAUAUGGAUUGGAAUCUAAGCUUAUGCCUUGGCGUCGGUCCAUUUUUUUAUUCAUAUGAGAGAGAGAGAGAGAGAGAGAGAGAGAGAGAGAGAGAAUAAGAAAAGGGAGAGUGUUCUGGAAAAAAAAUGAAAAGGAAGAGUUCUGGAAAAAAAAUGAAAAGGGAGUGUUCUCUAAAAAAAAUGAAAAGGAAAAGGAAUAGGAAAAAGGAAAAAAAUUAAAAAUUAUUUUGUAUUAUUUUAUAGAUAAAAAAACUAAUAUUUUAUUACCUAUUGCCAAGGCUAUUCAAGUGCAACGGUAGAGAUGCAAAAGGCAGUUACUGUUCAUUAAGGGCGAUUACUGUUCACAUAGUGGAUUGAAUAGUGAAUAGCCUGGGGAAAGGGCUCCUGGAGUAGCUCUUAGUAUAUAUAAAUAAAUAUUGAAUCAAUUCCAAAAGGGUAUUUAUAGUAAAAAAUAAGCCUCAUAUACUUUUUCUUAGAAUGUCAGCCCCAUACUUCUUCGUAAAAACAUUAACAGUAGCUAUAGCCUGUAAAAAUAGAAAAUCAAUUAUUUACCUGCAUCAUCACAGAAUGGCAGCCACAAAAAUUACCCAGGUAAAAACUGAAUGGAAAAAUUACCUAUCUAAUGCCUUCAGAGAGGCAUGAGAUCUUUUAUCAGUGCAAAAUUGAUUUGACAUCAUUUUGUAAAAAAAAUUAGAAAGCAUAAAAUAGAUGAAAAUUAAGGCUUACAUGGUGAACAUUAUUUUUUUGCUUGUCAUACCAUUGAAUUUUUAUUGCAUUCGCAGAUGAUAUACAGGGGUUGUCAAAGCAAAAGAUAUAUGUUCUCAAAUUGUUAAUGGAAAUGGAAACACAAAGGAAAACAGUUAUUCAUAUCUAAUGACCAAAUAAAACAGGUGCAUAAUAUAUGUUCUAACCAAAUAAAAGUAGGCCGACUUGGUACCAUUUAAGAAAGCCCGAUCCGCAUUCACCACAUCUACAUAUAGUAGCAUUUAUGGGAAACGUGAAAAUCAUUGUUGAUAUAUCAUAUAUCAACAACAAUCCUUAUAGAGAUGUGACAACAAACCAACUUGAACGAAAUGUAGUCAGAUCGAUUGGCGAAAGUUAUUAUCCAUUUCGUAUCCUGCUUUAGCACUGGAAAGAGAUGCUUUAAAAUAUUUGCUGCCCUUUCACCCAACUAUGAACAAUCAAGAAAAGAAAAUCAUAUUCAAUAGAACAGUAACUACGCACGCCAACUCAUAAAGAUGUGCUGAUGCAGUGAUAUCAGUGUGCAUAAGAUUAAGACGUAGCAGGAGUGGAUGGAUCAUAAUUAAUAAGCAUUAAUCAGGGAUGGAGAGAGAAAAAGAGAGAAAGAGAGAGAGAUAGAGAGAGAGAAUUAUAUCACAAUCAAGGUAGGUUAUCAACUAUAAUCAAUCAUCCUCAUCCCUGAACCGUUAUAAACUAUCUCUAAUUGGAUCAAUGGGGUCUGAUCAAUCUUGGCAUAAUGUACGGAGUAAAGUAAGCAAUCAAGAUGCUGAAAUAUUUAAUUGAGAUAUAAUACCUUGGUUGUGAAACUGUCAAGUAUCAGAUGUGGAUAAACAUGCAUUCACGUGGCUUCCCUUUCUCCAGCCAAAACCACACAGCAUCAUGCUCAUCCUCUGCGAUUAAAAUACAACAACGAAAAAAUCAAAAUGAUAGCAAUUCAAAAUUUAAAAGAAUCAUUUUUUUUAAAUGAAUCAGUGAGCAAGCAUAGAUUUGCACAUAGAAAGAGAAAAGAAACAAGGAAGAUAUGAAUACCCACUCUCUGUCACCCAUCUGCAAGCCCACCCACCCUGUCAACCAAACUGUUUGAGAUGGACGAAACCCCAACCCCCAACUCUCCUAAGGAUGCAAUCAGAGCUUCGGGUUUCAGGAAGCAAAUGAAAAACGAAGUGCGUUUUCAUCCCCCACCCUUUCUACGAUCGUCGACACGUGCACGAGAGAAGCGGUGGCAAUUUCGUAAAUAAAUCAAAAUUUUCAAUCUGAAACGGAAAGGGUGGUGGCAAUUUUGUAAAUAACUCAAAAUCCACCCCAAGUCACUGUUCAUUUGUACAGUGCAAUUUCUUCUUCUUCUUCUUUUUUUUUUUUUUGGACAAAGGCUUACUUUAUUUAUUGGGUAAAUAUCAGUUUACUACUCUCAAGUUUCGUGGUUUUCAACAUUUGGUAUAUGAAGUUUUUUUCGUCUCAGAGUCAUACCUAAAGUGUUAAUUUUGGGACAGUCUCCUACAUCUGUUAGUUUAACUAUUAAAUCAGCAGUUAACUGAUGACGUGGCACCAUGUAGACAAUGACUGGGCGCCACGUGUCAAUAUAACGCCCACGUGAAUAUUAAAAAAUUUAAAAUUAAAAAAAAAAUCUAGGCACCCACCCAUUCUCCUUCCCCCCCUCCCUCUCCCUUCUUCUCCCUCCCUUCUCUUCCAUGCACCCAUCGUCCCCGCACACCCACUCAUUCCCCUUAUUCUCCCUCCAUUCUCUCCUCUGCACCCACCCACCUCGCACACCCACCCACCUAAAAUCAAACCACAUAAAAAAACACAAAUUUCCCCCCAAAAUUUCUUACCAUCCAAAUACCCUCUGCUUCCCCCUUUCUCUCUCCUAGGUUUUAUUUGUAUCCCUUACAUCCCACACUUUCUCGCGCUUUCCCGGAAAAAUUUUCAUCUUCAAAUCUUCAACAUGAGGCAAUAGAAAGGUAUGCCGCCUUAUUGGGACCCGCCAACUCCGUUCGUCGAGCUUUCAAAUGAUUCAAAUCGCAGCUGGUUUGGAGAAAGAGAUCGCUAUGAUGAACAGCGAUUUUGGAUUGGAUGGAAAAUCGGAUGCCACUGGAGAGGCUGAGGAAGCUAGAGCUCCGGUUUCCUAAGGCGCGUAGGUAAAGAUGGAGCUAGGUUUUGCCAAUGAAGCUUGAUUCGGGAAGUAAGGUUGGCGGAAGAUCUGAGGAUGAUAGGGCUAGGGUUGGUACAGAGAGUGAAGUUGGAAAUGUAGAUAAAGUGAUGGAAUCGAAUGGUUUUGGAAGCAUGGUGGCAGAGUAAAGGGUCACUCGGGUCUCAUAGGGUUGGAGAGAGAGAGAGAGAGGGCGGAUGGGUGGGUGUGCAAUGUGAGUGGGUGUGCAGGGAGGGUGAGUGCAGAGGAGAGAAUUGAGGGAAAAUGAGGGGAAUAGGUGAGGUGUGCGGCCAGGAUGGGUGCAGGGAAGAGAAGGGAGAUAUGAGGUCGGAAAUGAGGGGGAAUGGGUGGGUGCCCAGAAUUUUUUUUAUAAUUUAUAAUUUAUAAUUUUUUUAAUAUUCACGUGGACCCCAUAUUGACACGCGGCGCCCUAGUCAUUUUUCACAUGGGUGCCACGUCAUCAGUUAACGGUUGAUUUAACAGUCUAACUAACAGAUGUAUAAGAAUGUUCCAAAAUUAACACUAUAAGUAUGACUCUAGGACGAAAAAAAACUUCAUAUACCAAAUGUUGAAAACCACGAAACUUGAGGGUAGUAAAUUGAUAUUUACCCUUAUUUAUAACACAACAUAUUACAUUAUAGAAGGCUCAAAUACAAGAAAUACACAAACAAAAAGAUGAACCUCUAUAGUAACCUAACAGCCCAAAACAUAGUUUUGAGGCCUGAACAGGAAAAACACCAAAGUAAACCCUAGCAGCUUCCUACCUCCGCCGUCAACCCGCUUACCAAACAAACAGCCUCUGCAACCAUCACAAAUCAACAGAACUAAAACCCCAAAGCUGGAUGAAAACGUAUGAAAACAAGACCCCAAAACAGAGCCCCAAACUCUUCCACAGUAGACCAUAACAGUAGCUGACACAAAUUGAAGGAAGCUAGCGGGACAAAACCUAUUAGCAUAGUGGCAACAAAGGCAAACCAAAGGAAGGAGGUGGUGUGAACACUCGAACAAAAGCUUUACUCACCUUCCAGGAGAAGCGUGAAAAAUCACGUUGAAAAAAAGUGGGAGCCAAGCCGAACUGUGAAGUCGGAGAAGGAUAAAGCCGAUCCAGAUUGGGGAACGUGGGGGAAAAUGUAACACCCACCCCCAUUUAUAAAAAUAUAAUUAUGUAAUUACCCCCAAAAUAUUAUGAAUCUAUCAAUUUUGGUCCUUUUUUACUACCAAUGAAAAUCUGAAAACAUUGGAUUCUUUCUUCCUCAAGCUGCCACGUGGCAGCACCCCCUUCACUCCUCUCACUUCUCUCUCUGUCCCCCCCCCCGUGAUCCCCUUCCUUAUUCUUCUUCUUUUUUGUCUGUCCCGUCUCUCUCCCUCUCGGAUAUCUCUCAUUUCUCUCUCUCAUCUCUCUCAUCUUUCUCAUCUCUGCACUGUGAACCCACACACACGCACACCAUCGCACAUGCUCGAAGUAGACACCCAUCACCAUCGCGUCCUGUUCUCUCUCUCUCGUUUCCGCCAACCCAAAAAACCAAAAAAAUGAGCUCCGGCGAGAUUUUUCAAUCUCAGGUUAGGUAAGCGCCAAAUCUUCCCUUUUUCGUCCUAGAAUCUGGUGAAAUGUGGUUUAAUGGAGUUUAUUUCGUUAUUUUUGGAGGUUUUUAGGACGAAUCGAACUCGGGUGUAGGAACACCCAUUUCCGGCGAGCUGUGGGUGUCGGGGGAGAUUCCGACCAUCUUCGGCCGUUCCACGACGAAAUGAAGGUAUAGAAUUACUCCAUUCGUCUUACUCUUCGUUUUGGUACCUAGAUUAGAGUCUAGGGUUGUGUUUGGUGGUCGGCCGGAGCUGUUGAAGCUCCGAUGUUUGUUCUCCUGCGAGACCAGGCCUCCUAGGCCGGUUCCAAGUCAAGCAGGCCUUAGGCCCGUGUGGGGAGUCAAGCCCAAAAUCCUAACCCAAUUUCCUUUUUAUUGUUUUUAUUUAAUUGUUAUUUGUUUUAAGACCCUAAAGGCCUUCGGGCCGAUAAGUUGAAGGCUUGAAGCCCGUGACCCAACCCAAAACCCUUUUUAGGUUUUGUUAUUUUUCUGAUUUAGAAAGAAGGCCUUGGGCCAAUUAGAAAGUGGGUUUUUAGCCCUUUCCCUUUUAAACCCUUUAACCUUAGUUAAGCCCAAAACCCUUAAGGCCCUUAAGGCCCUUUCGGCCCAACCCAAAACCAAAGCCCAGUCUGACCUUUGACAGUUUGACCGUUGACUUUGACUUUGACCGGUCAACGGUCAGCGUUGACUUUUUGAGUUGACUUUUCGGGGUUUCAGGGCCUUUCCUAGGCUAAUUUCGACGUCCUGGACCCGUUUUUGAAGUCUAUUUUCCCAAAUUCAAUCGUUUGAAUAGAGUUUGACUAAAGGUACUCCUUUAUGUGAUUAAGUGCAAUUACUAACGGUGAUUCCGUUAUUCCUUGUUGGUAUAGCUUUGCACCAUCGGUGUAAGGUGAGUGGACCCCUUCUAAAAUGCAUGUUUUAAUAGUAGAAAUGCAUACAUGAAAAACAUGAUUUGAUGAUUACGUUUUAUGAAACGUUUUGUGAGAUAACAUGCUUACUGAUGCUACUUUGAAUUAUUACUAUUUUUCCUAUAACCCGUGUUCUUAUAGAAUAUCUGAUGGAUGACGAUAUGAUAUUUAGAACAUGUUUCGAACACCUCUUUAUAGUAUAGAUGAUGAAUGACUUUAUACUAUGAAGUUGCCUUUCAACAUAUAUAUGUUCAAUGGUUUUGUACUUACCUAGUGGUCCUUUACGCUACGGGAUGUAGGGAUAGAUUCCGGUCCGUCCCAGACGACGAUUUGGUGUUAGCAUAGGGCCUGGAGUGUGUUUUCUCUGGCUAUUUAGCACAAGGACGGGGAGCCGGCAUGGGGCCUGGGGGUUAUCAGACAAUUCACUAAUAAUUAUUAUAUAUACAAGUUAUGAUUUGAGACACUGCACGACAUGCUAGGUUUCGGAAAACCUAUGUUGAUCAUUAUAUAUGUGUUUUCAUAAAACCUGGGGGUUAGUACGUUGAUAACUGUUUUACUAUUUAUAUAUCAAAUUGGUCCACUCAUGUUUGUUUUGCGCCCCCUUCAGGGCUUAGAAUCGAGGCAUACAAUCCCAAUGUCAAGGCACUUCCACAUUGGCAUCUUCGAGUCUUCUUGGUGUAAGAUCCAUUUUUUUAUUCAUUCAAUUUUAUAUUAUUUCUUUUAGUAUUCUAGUUAGUUGUAUGCUCUGAACACGUUCCUUAAAUGCAUAUUCCUCAUUCUUUUACAAUUAUAAGUUUUAUCUAUUCCUUGUUUUCAGCAUUUGCACUAAAUAAAUGGCUUUCGUCACCCUUGAGUGUCGGCCAGCACGUGCCUAUCCUGGUAUUCGGGGAAUAUCGGGGUCGGGGAAUAUCGGGGUCAGGGAAUAUCGGGGUCGGGGCAUGUCAGAAAAGAGGGGGAAAAGGUGGAAGGAAGACAAAAGGAAACAGAAGGAAAAGGCGGAAGAAAAGAAUGAAAGGGAGAAAUUGAAAAAUAGAGUAAAAACAGAGAUAACAGAUGUAGAGGGGUUUGAGUGGCAAACAGGCCACUGGGCGGGGGUAGAAGGAAGACAAAGGAGGAUGAAAAUCAACAAGAGAAGAAAAUAGAAGAAGAAAAGGAAAAUAGAAGAACAUAGCAGAGAAGGGGAAAAUAGAAGAACAUAGCAGAGAAGGGGAAAAUAGAAGAAAACAGAAGAAGAAAAUGAAAAGUGGCAACCAACUCCAGCCGAAGCCGGAGUCGAUGCUUGAGAAGGUGGACAAGUUGAAGACCCUCACCAAAGGGGGAAAGAAAACUCUCACAGAGGAAAGAAGGUCUCUCACGGAAUGAGAGAUUCACUUCUUCCCCUUCUUUAGAUUAAAGUAAUUUGGUGUCCAUUGGUUUCUCAAGUGGAGAUGAGGGAGAGAGAGAUCGAGUUGGGAGUUUGGGAGAUGAGGAGGGUAGGAUUGCCAUAUUGAAAAUUUCAUUAAUGACUACGGUUAACCUGUGUUAUAAAAUAGCUGGUUUUUUUAAGGGAGUUUUAACGAAACACUUCCGGUAUUGUUCACUUAAAUGAAAACGACAAUUUUACUUUAAAAAGUCACUUUGACACUAUUCACUUACAACACUUUUUUGUCAUUUCGAUUAAAGCUUAAAAUUUUCAAGCCAUUAUCAUUAGUUUUCCUAUUUUAAAAAACAUCUAUGAGAGAUGCUUUUAAUAGAAAUUUCCAAGGCCUAACUUUGAAUAUAAUAUUCCAGAUGAAAUAAGUCGUUUCUGCCAGGUGUUGACAUGUGUCAUGUUUGAUGACUUUUCCAACUUAUUUAGAUUUUUUGUUUAGACACACGCUACGCGUAAAAUUUAUGUAAUACAUGAGCGUUGAAACUUUGAUUUAUCGGUCAACAUUUAUUUACUGAAAUUUCGAUGUCUACAGAAACACUUAAAAUAAUUGCAAGAGUACAAGGUAGUUGUAGUAUAGCAGCUCAAACAAAGUCGUUCUCCACAGGGAUUGAAUGAAUAAUUUAUAUUUAAACUAAUCCUUAGCUAAUUAUUUGUAACAAAGUUUCGAAAAUGUCGAUUUUGGAAUUUAAAAUAAUAAAAACAAUUAAAUAAUUUGCAAAGUAAAAUGAACUAAAAAGAAAACGAUUUUAAAAAUCAAUUUAAGCACUAAAGUUCCGCCGUCACCAUUAACAAUCCUAUGCAAUUUUAUGAAUUACAUAUGAAAUUCUACAUACAUGCUUUGAAGGUUAGGUUUUCCUAAUAUAUAUUUUCCUCGUGAUGUUUGAGCGAAAACGUAUAUCUAACAUGCAACUCAUCUGUGAUGUUCAAAUCAAAUAUAAACAUGCAAGCCUCAUUAAGUUUUGUGAAAACCUUUUGAAAAACCAAGCAACCCUUAAGAGCGUGAUGUUCACCUUAACUGAACGUACAAUUACUAAUCACAAGAAGCCAUCCUCAAUUUCAAGGUGAUGUUCCAACAUAAAUUGCAUUAAAUUACUUGUCUAAAUACCCUAAUGGUCGCAAAUCACUAAGACAAUUAGAUAGUUUAAACACGAUAAUUAAUAAUUCAAAGCAAUCAUACAUUCAUUCAUAAGCAAAUUAAUAAAAUCACAUAUUCAUGUUAAGACUCAUGGUCUCGCCCUAGCAAAAAGACUAGUUUCACAUAAUCAUAAUAAAAACUAAAGAAAAUAUCAUUAACUAGAAAAAUAAAUGAAAACACCUUGUAGGUAAAAAAUCUGAAAUUUCCUAAAAUAAUGCGUCUCUCCAAUCCUAAUGGCUAAAUAACCUUAAUUGUACUACUAGAAAAAGUCUUCUAAAAACUAGGAAACAUAAUAGAAUAAGAUAACUUGAAAAUACAUUCAUAUUUUAACUUUGGAAAAUCUGUCCAUCCACAAAGAAUCCCACAUUUCUGCAUCUUUAGGGCUCCAAAACAGGCCCAAAACAACUUGAAUUAAAGAUUAAGACGUCAUUUUCAAGUUCCAAGAAGAUCACAAGUCCAAAAUUCAUCAUCUUGUAGCCCAAAAAGUCGCAAGUAAGCUCUAUAGUCCGAUUUGCCAGCAUUGCGUGCUGGUAUAAAUUAAUUCGCCGAGAUCAGAUGCUUAAGGAUAAAAUUACGAAAUUUUGAACAACCUUCUUGACAGAAUCACGAACCCACUUCAAUUGGAAUCACUCAAAAAUUUCACCAUUUGAUUACUUAAUGCUCAGAACAAGUUCGCACGUCCUACAUUGAAAAUAAUACAAAGCAUCAACAUUUCACCAAAAUAAUAACCAAAAUAUACCAAGAAUGGGAGCAAAUAUAUAGUAUAAAAUCAAGGGAGACUUUGGAUGUGGUCCCUAGUUAUGAACAGUCUUUGACUGAAACCUUGUUGGUUUUCAAUUUUUGAUCCAAGUCCCUGAAAUUAAUUGAUAAUUUAUUUCUAUGUACAUUACUAUAUUUUUAAAUUAAAAAUUAAAAUUUAUAGUUGUUUAUAGUAAUGAGAUUUUAAAUAAAAAACCAUAAUUUGUGGGAUUAAAAAUAUUAAAAUAUAAAUAUACUAUUGUGUGUGUGUGUGUAAACAUGGGUACAUUCAUAAAAAAUAACCAAAAAAUUAUUGUAUCAAAACAUGGGUACAUUCUUCAAAAUAGGUACAUUUAGCAAAAAUAAAAAUGGGUACAAAUAAAUAAAAAAGUAUGGGUACAAUACAAAUAAAACUUUAAAAAAUAUGGACACAAAAAGAAAUUAAUAUAUGGGUACAAAUUAAAACUGAAAGGAAAAUUGGUACAAAUUAAAAAAGGGUUGCAAAUUAAAAUGGGUACAAAUUAAAAAAAAAAUAUGAUAAAAAAUUUAGCCAUAAAUAUAAAUAUACUAAUUGUAACAUUUUUAAUAUUAAAUGAAUAUAUUUAGAAAUAAAAAAUAUUUUAUUAUUGAAAUAAUUAAUGAUAUUAUUAAUACAAAGGACCUUGAUCAAAAAUUGAAAAGUAAUAAGGUUUUAAUCAAUAGAGUAGUAAAAAUAGGGAUGAAAACCUAAUUACUCCUAAAAUGAACUCAUCAGUUACCACUAGAAUAAUGUAAUAGACGACAUGUGCUAUACACACUAAUUAAUUUGGUCAUUAUACUACACAUUUAAGCUAAAAACCGUAGUAUAACAGCAUACGAAAUGUUAUAAAGUGAUGGAUAUAUCUAAUACAUGACAGUAAUACACAAAGGUUGUUUGGUAAUAGCCGUUGUCGGAUGCAAAUAUGUAUGACGGUGAAAAAAAUCGUUGUGGAUUAACUUUAUACUAUGACACACUUGAGCACAACAAUUUUGUGAACGACGGUAUUUCACCGUCGUCCAGUUACUUUUUUUUUUAUGAUUAUAAAUCUUGAUUCCACUGGUUUUGGAAUGGUAACGAUGAUCUAGUAGAAAAUUGGAAAGUAAUGUAGUUACAUUUUGUUAGAACCAAAAAGGAUGGCAAAGAGCUUUUGUAAAAGCAGUCUGAUUACAGUUGUAAACUGGGAGAAUUCUUAUUGAAUUGAAAUAACAUUUAUGGUUAUUAAAUAGCCUUACAAUGAAAUAGGAAAGGAAACAACAACCCACGAUUUUACAGGGCUUAGAAUCUGUUAAACAUUAAAGUUGAUAUUUUGGAGAAUCUAAAUAGCCAUGUAUUUUUUGUUUUUUGUUUGUAUGUGCUGGCAGUGUCUAGAAUUAUCUUUUUGGGUAUUAUUUAUUAGGUCCAGCUUUAUUGUCUCUUAAAGAGAAAAAGAGGAGUCUUUAGAAAGAAACGAAAAGUCACUAGUUGUGCCUUUCCUCCUCCCUGUACCAGAUCUUUUUUGUGUGUGCAGAAAAUAGAAGUUGGAGUAUUUUUUUAUUCAUCUCUUUAGCUUGUUCUUCUUUACAUCUUUGUGUGUUGAUCUUGGGCUAGUGUAUUGUAUUACACUAUUGUUGUUAUUUACAGAAUCGUGGUGCAUGACUAAGUCAGAAAUGGAAAAACAAUCUUGUCCCUCAAGUAUAAGAGGGAUUAUAUGUAGGGCUGGAAAAAAAUCCCAAAAAUCCCAAACCAAACCAAAAAAAUCCCGAUCCCAAACCAAAAAAAUCCCAAACCAAAAUUCCCGAAAUUUUCAGGAUGUCAUCCCGAACCAAACCGAAAUUUUCGGUAUGGGAUUCGGUACUGCAUCUCCAUUUUUCGGUAUUCCCAUACCGAACCGAAAAAAAAUUAUAUAUAUAUUAUUUUUUAAUUGUAAGAGAAUUAUUUCAACCAUUGAUUAUUUUGGAUUUAAUAUGUGCCGUUGAUUUGUUUUUAGGUCAGAUCCAAAUGGUACUCUACUCUUUCCGUUCAUUUGUUUCCAUCCAUUGAAGUCUCGAAACGCAGCCCUCCCUCACCGAGCCCUCAUCUCUCAUCUAAUCUCUCAUCGAACUCGAAGUCACUCUCACGGUCUCACCUCACCCCAAAUUAGGUAAUUAAUUUAGUGUUUUGAAACCUAAUUUAUGUCUUCCUUUUGAAAUUUAAUUUAGGGUUUGAAUCUUGAAUCUUAAUUUCUGUCUUCGUUUUGAAACCUAAUUUCAAUCUUGAAUCUUCCCUUACUGGUUUCAAUUUUGAAGAGUGAAUGUUUUUAUGCGCUGCAUGUUUGCAGGAUUACCAGAUUGCUGCGGCUACCAGGAUUACCAGGUUUAUGCGCUGCAUGUUUUUUGCAAGUCUCAUCCUCUCCCAAAUGAAAUUGGUAUGUAGAAGGGAUGUAUGGGGAGAAAAUGCAAUAUCUUUCGAUGUUUGAAUAAAUACGACAAAAAAUUUGAUUGAGUAUCAGUGAAAAGCUUGCAGUAGGAUCAUCUUCAGAUUGUGAAUAUGUGUGUUCUACGUUUAAAUACUCUAUUGAGUCCCAACUGCUUACCUGUACAUAAUGCAUUAUGCAGUGGCUCCCCAGAGACAGAGCAUUGUGGAUGGAAUGAGGAUGAUAGCACUCAAACUUGAAUUUGGUGUAUCCCACAAUCAGAUAUUUGAGAGGUAUUUUUCUUUUAUUUUGUUCUACUUUUUGUUCUUAUCUUUCAAAAUUGUAGAUGUCUUUUAUUGAUUAUUAAUUUGUGCAGGACCCUAGCAGUGCAUUUUACAGAUCCUUUCCAUGUGAGCAAACGGGUUGCAGAUAAAUGCAAUGAUGGUACUUUGCUUCUCUAGGUAUGUGUGAUAUGGUUUUCAAAACUACACUUCUGUAUGUAACUUUACUUAUGCAUCCCUGGCUAGGUGAUUAGAUAAUAAGACGUGAAGUGUGUGACAUCCUAUUCCUAUGUGUUGAAACAUGGAAAUUGUUUCUGUUUCACCAGAUGGAUAUUAAUCACUUACUUUCUGAUGCAGGGUGUUGAUCCAAGUAUUCGAGCUGAAGUGUGGCCGUUUCUUCUUGGAGUGUAAGUAUUUUCAUAUCUAUGCGAUUGCUUUAAUGCUUCAAGUUUUGUAUGUGUUAUAUGAAAAUUAGUUAGUAUACGAUUUUCAAAUUUUCACCCUGGUUUUUAUUUGCUUUGUAGUUCAAAUACACGAUAUAUGCUCAGAUUUUUCUAUGUUGAAUGCUCAGAUUUUAUUUGCUUUGUAGUUCAAAUACACGAUAUAUGCUCAGAUUUUUCCAUGUUGAAUGCUCAGAUUAUUGAUUGGAAUUUGGAUAUAUGCUGAACUGUGGUUGUGAUAUAUAUUAAUGUGCAUUGUUAUUUUAUUUGUUAAGUAGGAUGAACGGGUCUAGUAGCCAAUCUAGUGCACAUAUGGUCUCGGUAUUAGGGGCCGAAGAGGCCAACAAUCUUCAUAAAUUUUAGGCUUUGUUUUUUUGCUUUUGGUUUGUAACUUAAUUAUUGAAACUUUGGCUUGGAACUAAUUUUUUUGCUUUUGAGUUUGUUACUUUAUUUAUUUUAAAACCUUGACUUGUAACUAAUAUUUUUGCUUUUCGAUUUGACUUGUUGUACGUCACUAUGGGCUGUUGAAUAUAUUUGGCAAAUUGCUUUAAAAUAGAUUUGUACACAGAUUUGACAUGUGUAGUAGAAAUAAAAUUGUUUUUUGUUGAAUUAGGUUAAGCCCAUAUGGGCUGUUGAAUUGAGUGACUAUACAAUUGGACAUAUUCAUUACUAGGCUGGGUGGACAGAUUUUGGGCAUGGCCCAAUAUUGGCUUUUUGUCCAAAAGCCCAAAACCAUUUCGGGAUUCCCGAUUUGUCCCGAAAUCACGAAACUAUUUUGGGAUUCCCGAAAAUUUGGUUUGGGAUCGGUAUUGAAAUUGAGAUUCCCGAAAAUUUUGGUUUGGGAAUCGGGACAAGGGUUUCGGUAUGGGAUCCCAUACCGAACCACCUCUAAUUAUAUGCAUGACUUGAAUCAAACCCUAAAAACAAGGAACCCUAACCCUAAUGGGUAGGAAGUCCCAACAACUUUAACAUCAUCCAUUAAGCUGAAUGUCAUUGGCAAUCAAUUGAUUCCAGGGUAUUCGCAAACACCCAUUCAACCUCGCAUCUUCGAAAACAUUUCAAGCUACAAUGGUUUUGUCAAGAUAUCUACAAUUUGCUCCUGAGUAGAACACUAUAUUAGCUCCACUACUUCAUCUUGGACAAGAUCACGAAGAAAAUGAAUAUGGACAUCUAUGUGCUUGCUACGGCCAUGCAUCACUGGAUUCUUCGAGAGUUUGAUGGCUGAAGUACACUACCGUAGGAUUGGAUUGCACAUGAUUUAGAAUUUUCAAAAUUCUUCUCUGGCACACAACUUCAUACACACUUGAUGCUGCAACAAUAAACUCUGCUUCUAUGGUGGAAAGAGUAACUAUGGGCUGUUUCUUUGAAGACCAAGACACUGCACCCGAAUUCAUCAUAAAAACAUAACUUGAAGUGCUCUUUUUGUCAUACUGAUAUCCAGAAUAAGCGUUGUCUAUGUAGCCAAAGAGCUCUUCAUCUCCUCAUUUCUUAAAGACACCCCAAAGCUAGUUGUGCUCUUCACAUACCUUAGAACUCUUUUUGCUGCCAUCAAAUGAGUCUAUGUGGGACGUUCCAUGUACAUACUAGUUAAGCUUACAACAAACAUUAAAUCAGGACAUGUGGCAGCUAGAUACAUAAGAUUUCCCACCAUCUACUUGUAAACCUUGUCAUCGACUCCCACUCAUUAUUCAUCCCUUGUAAGCUUAAACCCAAAAACCACUAGAUUGUGCACUGAGUUGCACUAGUCCAUAUUAAAUCUCUCCACAAGUUCUUGAGCGUACUUCUGUUAGCUAAUAAAGAUGUUAUCUAAUAUUUGCAACACUUCAAUGCCAAGGAAAUAUCUCAUUUUCUUGAGAUUAGUCAUAUAAAAUUCAACCAUCGUGGACUUCUUAAAUUGUUCGAACAUAACUUCAUCAUUGCCAGUAAAUAUAAGAUCAUCAACAUAAAGACACUUUCAAUAAUUUACCUCCAUCCGUUGUUUUAAUGAACAGAGUAUGCUCGUAGGACAUUUGUUGAAGCCUUCCUUAACAAAGUAUGACUCUAUACGACUGUACUAGGCUCAGGGAGCCUGUUGAGUUCAUACAAAGCCUUCUUGAGCAAAUAGACCUUGGAUUUAUUCCCCUUUUGUUCAUAACCAGGAGGUUGAUCGACAAACACCUUUUCAUUAAUUUCUCCAUGCAGAAAGGCUGAUUUGACAUCAAGUUGGUAAAUCAACCAACUUUUCUGAGUAGCAAGGGAAAGUACAAUUCGAAUUGUAUCCAAGUGAGCCACUGGUGUGAACACUUCAGCAUAAUCUACCCAUAUUGUUAGAUGUAUCCCUUAGCGAAUAGCCAUGCCUUAUACUUGUCGACUUCCCUAUGCUCAUUGAGUUUUGUUUCAAGACCCACUUCACUUCAAUGGUUUUUGCCCUAAUGGUAGAUUCGUUAGUUCUCACAUCUCAUUCCUCUUUAUAGCUUCAAUUUCUUGAUCCAUAGCUUACCUCCAUUUUUCACAAUAUCCUCAAAUGUCUAGGGAUAACUGUCAGUGAACAAAGCUAGAUGAGCUAUGUUUACACCUUCUUCAUCAAAGAAACCUUGACCAGUUUCAUAAUCUCCCAUCCACACUGGUGGUCUUCGUGUUCGUCCUUUUGUGAGGUGAGUUGUCAUUAUUCAAGGUGUCUUCUUCUUCUAAAAAGUCACUGCUAUCAGUCCUACCGUCCUCCAAUUCUUCAUUAGCUUUAGACUCAUCUCCAUUGCCUUUAUCUUUUAUACUUGCUUAUUCGUUAGUUUCCCAUUCAAGAUCAGCCAAUAUGGCUUGCUUGUGACUGCAUCCAUACUCCAUUUUUUAUCUUCCUUAAAGACCACAUCUCGGUUUACAAUUAUUUUGUGAAAUGGGAUCAAUCUGCCUGUAAGCUUUAGACUCUUCACUUACUCCAAGUAAUAUGCAUUUGAGACUCUUGGCAUCAAGCUCCACUCUCUUGUUGUCAGGUAUAUGAGCAUGGAUAUGCAUCCAAAGAUUCUGAAAUGCUCCACUAAUGGUUUAAGUCCGCUCCAACCUUUUUAGGUAUUUCUCUCUUCACAGCAAGGGUCCGACUUCUAUUCAGCACAUGAACCAUCCAGUUUACAGCUUCAUACCAAUAAGUUUUAGAAAUUUUCUUCUCAGGCGACAUGCUUUGUACCAUAUUCAUAAUGGUUCGAUUUUUCCUCUCGGCAACACCGUUUUGUUAGGGAGUAUAUGUAGUCGUCAAUUGCAUGUGUAUUCCAUUCUUAUUACAGAAGUUUGUGAAUUCUUAUAAUGUGAACUCGCUCUCACGAUCUGUUCUAAAACUCUGUAUGAAUGCUCUAGUUUCAUUCUCGACCCUGGCUUUGUAGGUUUUGAAUGUGGCAAAGGCUUCUGAUUUUUCUACCAAGAAAUAAACCCAAGUUUUUCUACUGAAAUUGUUAAUAAAGGUGAUGAGAUACCUUUUCUUGCUGUUCGAGAUUGGAUUUAUCAAACCAUAUAUAUCAGCAUGCACCAAUUGAAGAAUUUUGAAGGCUCUCUAUAUACUUUCCUUUGGGAAUGGAUCAUGGUGUUGUCUUCCCACCAAACAGUCUUCACAUAUUCUCUAAGUAGCUUUGAACUGAGGUUACCCUUCAAUCAUCUUCUUUUGUUGAAGUACUUUGAGUCCAUUCCAGCUAAAAUGUCCAUAUUGACAGUGCUAAAGCAUGGCUUGAUUUGUGGUCUGUGAGGAGAAAUAUUUUUGCUCUCUUAGUGGACAGCGAGCAAGCACAUCAAGCAAACAUUCUAUUAUAUGUUAUCUCAGGAUGAAAGAUCUUACAUUUUCCAUGUUGAAUAAGCACAACGAGUCUCUUCUCUUGUAGUUGCUCGAUGCUUAACAAGUUGUUCUUCAGUUCUGGUACAAAGAAGACUCAUGUGAUCACAUGUGCAAUCUCAUUCACCUUUAUUUGAACCUUGCCUUUACUUCGUACAAUAAGGCUCGAGUCAUUUCUCAGCUUCACAGACUCUCUGAAAUUUCUAUCAAAUUCAAAAAAUAUGUCUCUUUUGCCACACAUAUGGUUGCUAUACCCAGAAUCAAGGAACCAAAUGUUCUCUACUUCAUCUUUUUUAAAGUCCACAUGGACCAUCAACAACAUCUCUUCUUUUGUUUCUGCGUAGUUUGCCUUUGGAUCCCUUGCUUUCCUUGGACACGUCCACUGAAAAUGCCCUAACUCAUGACAAUUAUAGAUUGUAAUGUAGAUUUCUCAAACUCAAAUCUACCUCUACCUCUUCCUCUUCCUCUUCCUUUUCCUCUUCCUCUUCCACGAUAAGUACUUUGACCUCCACAUUUUCCUCCUUGCUAAGCUACAUAAGUGACUUGCAGUGCUUGUUCAUCCGGCUGAUUCUUUGUUCAUGCACCAACAGGUUACUCUGAAGCUCGUCUAUAGACAAGGUUCAUUCGAUUCCUCAAUCAAACACACAACAUAAUCAUAUUUUGAAGUCAUAGACCUCAAGAUCUUCUCAGUGAUCACCACAUCCUCCAUUUUCUCUCUGUGAACCUCAUUUUAUUAGCUAUGAUGAGAGUUCUUCCAAAGUAGUCAUUGACUUAUUCCCCAGCGUUUAUGUGUAUCACUUUAAACUCUUCACAAAGAGCUUGCAAUUGGGCACACUUGACACAUGCCGUUCCUUGAUAUUUCUGCUUCAAAGAAUCUCAUAUAUCCUUCGCGGUAUCCUUCUUCAAGCACCACCACCUAACAAUCUUCAUCUCAAAUCCUAGGCUUGGACGAGAUCCUUCUCUCUUCCUUUUUCUUUUCCUUUGCACAGUAGUGCCUUUACUAUGCAUCCCUUUCUUUGGCAAGUUAUCACCGUUUUCGGCGAAGGUAAGCCACGAACUCCUUCGAUCUUCCUCCCUCGUGGUCUAAAGUAUUUGUUUGAUGAUAAAUAAUGACUUUGGUGAAUGGUUUAAUCACAAAAACUGCUAUGGGAAUUUUUUUCCAUAUUCGGGGAAGUGGGAGACCGUGACUGUUUCGCCACUUUCAAGCCAUUUUUCAAGCCAGCUCCGAUCCUCAUUGGGCCUCGAAAGGGUAUAAAUCUCUUCCCUACAUUUCUAACUUUACAUAGGAUCUUGAAUCACUUGAUUUGUGGUUGUAUCGAGCUCGGAAUUAGCUCUGGGAGUUAAAUGAGAAACCUGCAAAAAUUGCAGAAAUUGUGAGAUCCCACAUUGGCCAGGGGAGUGGAUCAUCUAUGCCUUAUAUGUACAUUCUCACCUCUAAUUGGCACGAGGCUUUUUGGGUGCUCACUGGUUUCAGGUUUCAUCGAAACUCCGAAGUAAAGCGAGUUCGCGCGAGAGCAUUCCCAUGAUGGGUGACCCACUGGGAAGUUCUCAUGUGAGUUCCCAAAAAAAAACUGUAAGGGCGUGGUCGAGGCCCAAAGCAAACAAUAUCGUGCUACGGCGGAGGUGGGGCCGGGGAUGUGGUGAGAGCCCGGGUCGGGAUGUGAAAAUUUGGUAUCAAAGCCAAUCCCUGGCCGGAAGGGUGCCGACGAGGACGUCAAGCCCCUAAAGGGGGUGGAUUGUGAGAUCCUACAUCGCCCAGGGGAGUAGAUCCUAUAUGCCUUAAAUGUACAUUCCCACCUCUAAUUAGCAAGAGGCCUUUUGUAAGCUCACUGGCUUCGGGUUCUAUCAAAACUCGGAAGUUAAGUUAGUUCGUGCGAGAGCAUUCUCAUGAUGGGUGACCCACUGAGAAGUUCUCGUGUGAGUUCCCAAAAACAAAACCGUGAGGGCGUGGUCGGGGCCCAAAGCAAACAAUAUCAUGCUACGGCGGAGGCGGGACCCGGGAUGUGGUGGAGGCUCGGGUCAGGAUGUGAAAAUUUGGUAUCCAAACCAAUCGCUAGCUGGAAGGGUGCCAACGAGGACGUCGGGCCCCUAAGGGGGGUGGAUUGUGAGAUCCCACAUCGCUCAGGGGAGUGGAUCCUCUAUGCCUUAUAUGUACAUUCCCACCUCUAAUUAGCACGAGACCUUUUGGGAGCUCACUGACUUCGAGUUCUAUCGGAACUCCGAAGUUAAGCGAGUUCGCGCGAUAGCAUUCCCAUGAUGGGUGACCCAUUGGGAAGUUCUCAUGUGAAUUCCCAGAAACAAAACUAUAAGGGCGUGGUCGGGGCCCAAAACGGACAAUAUCGUGCUACGGCGAAGGUAGGGUCAGAGAUGUGGUAGGGGCCCUGGUCGGGAUGUGACAUAAGGCGAGUAUAGCGUACUCGUGGGCUCGUGAAGCACACGGGCCUCCACUAGGGGUACUAUGGAUGGCGUUGCCGAUGAUUUUUCCGGCCAACUUUCUAGUAACCCAACUUAGCACGUGGUGACUCGGGCCGUCACCCCGUGGCGGCGCAUGCGAUGGCGAGUAGGGAAACCCAAGGUCUUUCCUUUGGUUUUUCGACAUGCCAAAUUUGAAUCUGCCAUUCGUUUUACCAAAGUUUGUCGUUUUAGUAGAGUUUUAACAAAUGGUCCCUAAUUGUGUUUAGGUGCGUUGGUUUGAAGUGAUCCCAUCCUUCGUAGUUCGAAUGGCUCUUCGGUAGCAUAAUAUUUGUGAGUGGACCCCUUCUCAAAUUACAUGUUUUUAUAAAAAUAUUAGGCUUGCAUUCAUGGAAGGCAUAUAUUUAUAAUUCUACAUUUCAUGAAUUAAUUAUGUUUUAUGAUAAGUUUAUGAAUUUCUAAAUUUAUGUUUUACGAAGAAUUUAUGAUUUAUUUAAUUUGUUUUUUGAAGUAUUUACGAUUUAUCAGUUUAAGGUUUAUGAAAUUUUAUGCUUAUGAAAAUCAUGUUUAUGGAAAUGCUUAUGAUUUCUGAUGAUGAUGUUUUGAGCCCUAAGCUUUGGUAUGAGAUUUUGAAUUACAUUUUAUGUGCUUAAUUAGUGGGUAAUCAUACAACAUAUACACACAACACGAGUAUGUAUACGUUUAUGGCCAUAGGACACAAUGGAGGAAUAGUGAGAUAUUUACAACAUACUCCUAACUUCACUGGCGAAACCAAUGUCGGACAGCUUCACCUUUGAGUGAUGGGACCUACCAUGUUUCUUCACUGGCGUAACCCAGUGUCGUACAACUUCACCCUCAGGUGAUGGAUAUGCAUUCGAGCAACUACGAUGCCCCUAUAUAAGUACAUUAGUAUUUUGAUUUACGAGCUCUUUUAGUUUUGUCUUUGGGCGAUUUCAAUACCACUUUUAGAUAUGAUUUUAUUAUCUAUGAACGUUUUCGUGGCAUGUAGAGUUUCGGGAAAAACCUAUUACGUAUUAUUAUAUUGUUUUCAAAACGGGGGGUUAGUAUGUGCAAAAAGAAAACGGUUUUCUUAUUAUUACUAUUAUUAUAAACUCUGGUCCACUAACCUUUUGUUUUUGUGCCCCCUUCAGGACCUAGUGACGAGAAAUACGACUCGAGCAUCGAGGCAUUUCCCUUCUAGUGAUCUUGUUUUCUCCUCACUACGCAUGACCUUUUUAUGUAUAAUUGUAACUUUAUGUCUUUCAUUUCGCUAGCACUAUUGUUUAGUAGUAUGCUCUGGACAUAUUCAUGCAUCCUUUGUUUCGAAUUGUUAACAGUUGGAUAUUCUCCUUUUAUUAUGACUAACGUUAUAUUAUUAUCAUUUCUUUAGCGUUUGUAUAUUCUUUAUGAUUAUUGUUUCUCUUUUGACUUUUUGAUUGCAUGCUUCCUUGUGUUCAUGCAUAUUCAUAUAAUUAUGGCUUUUGUCAUGCUCGAGUAUCGGUCAAUACAUGUCAUGCAUGUGUCAUUUGGAUAUCUGGGUUGUGGCGUGUCCAUCAAACCUCGGAAUGGCAGGUUGCACGAAGCUACUCUCGGAUGCCAUGUAUUUUGUUCCUUCAAGCUAGUAACUAUGUUGCAGGCUUUGAUCAAGCCCCAUGAUGGGGCUCUGAUACUAGAUGUUAGAAUAAAAAAAGGAUAGAAAAGAGCUCUUGUAAACGCAAAGUCUGAUUACACUUGUAAAUUGGGAGAAUUCUUAUUGAAUUGGAAUAACACUAAUGGCUGUUAAAUAGCCUUACAAUGAAAUAGGAAAAAAAAACAACCACCCACGAUUUUGCAUGGCCUAGAAUCCCUCCUAUACUCGAGGGACAAGAUUGUUUUUCCCUUUCUGACUUUGUCAUGCACCACGAUUCUAGGCCAUGUAAAUUAUUUUUAAAUUAUGUGCUUCUUGAGGUCGUGGAUCCUUGUUUCCCCGUUGAGUAUUUGACUUAGAGAGUUAAAAAUAGGGAUGCAAACUACUACGCCUACAAUUACGGCACCAAUACGAGAUGGCAGAGAAGCAAUAACGGAACCAUCGUUGCCAAAAAAAAAAUAGUUAACCAUACUUUGCCCGGGCCGCUUGGGCUCCACUGCUAUCAGGGCUGCACAAAAUGCCACCAACAUGCCAGCAAUGGAAUAACUAAUAAGACUCGUAGGUGUGGGUAGAUGGGUUGACAGGACAGAUAUAGGACUGGAUUCAUUAAAUAUCGCCGACACUGAGAGAGCGAAGCAAAGCGUGUUAAAAAACAUAAAUACUUUGUAAGCUCCUUCUUUUGUUAAAACUGGUGUUCCAUCGUCUUUAAACCCUCCUGGCGGGUUCAAAACGGCCGUAAAUGUAACGGUUGCAAUGACCGUCGCUACCAGAAGUUUCGAAUCAUUUCUUUUGAAGGUCUGAGCCAAAUAAGCCUGCAAGUUUUCUCUCGUAUUUGUAGUAUUGACCAGUGUCUCAGACGUACUGCUUUCCCCUUGGGAUCCAAAUUUCUUGAACUCCUGCUUGAUUUUUUGUUGAUAAUAUGGCACGGUAACGACAACGUCUCUUGCCAGGCAGUUCAAAACAUUGCGACUUUUUACGAUUUCCUAAAACAUAAAUAAAGAACUACACUUUUAGUAAACAUAUACAGGACUUAAAAACAAUAAGGGAACGAAUUUGGAUUUAGAUAUGUUCUACGUUUGAUUCUAUCCGAUAUAAGAAAAUAAAAUAGAGAGUUCAAAGUUGAAAUCCAAGGGAAAUAAAUAAAAGAUUUGCGUACCUUUCUUCCCGUGUUCUCGGCGAGCAAAAUGUCGCUAACUUGCAAAAAUUCUUUAUUGAUAGCAGUUCUGUUCAACCUCCUGUCUCUCCUUAAAAUAGCAACGAUUUCACUAUUUUCAUGAAUAGCAGCUAGAUGCCAAGGAGUGUUUCCAUCAUUAUCUGCUUCGUUUAUAAGUCUCGCAAGCCUAGGCGUCUUCAAAACGUACUUCACAACAUUUAUCUUUUCGCCUAAAACUGCUGCAUGUAGAGCUGUUUGGCCCUUGUGAUUGACACAAUCACAAAUAUCAGGACAACGUCCGAUCAACUCUUCAAUUAUUUGGGUGUGCCCUGCAUAUGCCGCGACGUGGAGAGCUGACAUGCCAAGCUCGUCUUUGAUGUAACAAGCAAAUUUGAAAGUUUUGCAAUUUUGAAUCAGUAGUUGAGCUGCUUUAAGGUUCCCUCUCAGUGAUGCGUAGUGUAAUGGAGUCCACCCUAUUUCAUCACGAACUUCGACCAUCCCAGGAUUUUUGGUAACCAUAGAUUGCACAAUUCCUAAAAUGUUGAUAUAGAAAAAUUAGAAAUUGUGUUGUGGGAAUCAAGUAUAUAUAUGAAAAUAAGGCAUACCAAGUAACGGUAGCUGGACUGAGAUGCAUAUCUCAAUCAUUAAGGAUAUAUUAUCGACUGUCAAUAUGUCAUACUCAAUAACUAAGUUGAUGGGAUUCCGUGCAUAAGAAGGGUCUAGUACGGUAGUACAAAGUAAUGUCAUGAAGUUAAUUACCUUUCUUGGCGAAGGGUAUACGAGUGGCUGCUGCGUGCAAAGCGGUCACACCAUUUGUUCCCUGAAAAGAAAGAGAUUCAUGAUCCGGAGUCUUUUUUAAAAUAUAAUCAGCAAUGCUGGUAGACCCGGCUCUAACAGCUAGGAACAGGGGUGACUCCCUGGUGCUGUAAAAUGAACAACACAAUUCAGGAUCAGCACUCAGCAAAAUCUUCGCUACUCCAGCAUGAUUGUAUCGAACAGCAACAUGCAGUGCUGUAUCCAUUUCCAAAUUCGGCAUUCGGAGUAGUUUUUUGUAAGCUUCACCGUCAGUUGGUGCCUUUUCUGGAUCAAGAUCAACCACUUCCAUAGGUUCCGCUUUUGUGUGCUCAAUGAGGAACGUUACUACUUCACCGCAACCUACUCUCGCAGCAACAUGUAGAGGAGUUUCGCCAUUCUUGUUGGUGGCCCAAAACCGGGGAGAUUCGGGAUUUUUUUUCACUUUUUUGAAGAAGUUUAUUUGCUUGAAUUCAGCUGCAAUGUGAAGAAUAUUGUUCUCUUUAGGUGUUUUCUGAGAGAGAUCAGCUGUUAGAAGUCCUUCCAAGAAGCCAACAUCACCAGUUGCAGCUGCUUCAUACAGAGAAGGAUUCAUGCCUUCCACCUCUCUCUCAGAUUUCCUAUAAAGUAUAAAGUUGAAAUAAGAGCACAAAUGCAAAUUGCAAUGGAGGAUUUGUGAACCAUAUAGGUUCACUUAUAGGAGGUUGCCAAUUGCAUGCCAAGUAGGCAAGUAGCCAUGCCAAUUGCAUGCCUAUCACCAUUCAAAACACUUGUGCCGUCCACCAUUCAAAAACACUUUGUUUAUUUUUUCUUCUCUUCUUGUCAGUAACCCAUUCAAAACUUUUUAUUUUUUAUAUUAUUUUUCUUUCUUUUUCCCACAUGGUGCCGGGACGGAAACCAACGGCAAGCUGGCAUCAAACAGGGGCAAACACGUAAUUUUAAUGUGCAACAAAGAAAGGAACUUGAAAUCUGGCAUCAAAUGAGGGGCAAAUCCAUCAUUUCACUGUUGGUGAACAGUGCUUCCUCUCACAUGAUGAACAGUGAUCUUUUCUGCUGAACUUUAGUAUAUAUAAUAAUAUAUAUAUACAUAUAUUAUGUUUUAUCCUUUUCGGUGUCAGAAACCAUGUGCUUGUGUUUGUCUUCUAACAUUUUUUAAUCUUAGAUUUUUGUCCACUACAAACCUUAUCCAAAGCAGAUGAGAGACGUGGGCAGGGAAGGACAAAACAGACUUUUUACUGUAGCAAAGUGUGAACAGUACGAAUUCAAGGUCAUUCCCACCCUUUAACUGUUGAUGAACAGUGCACGCUCUCACAUAAUGAACAGUGCCGAUCAACUGGACUUUGGCAUAUAUAAAUAAAUAUACACACACAUAUAUAUACUAUGGUUGUUGUAUUUUAUAGUUAAAUUUUUUUAAUAGUUUAAAAAAUUAAAAUCAUCGAAAUAAUUUUUUUUUAACGUAUCAAAACGAUUUACCCGAGUGUCACUCUCGUGUAAACUUGUUAAAGAUACAUUAUUAAUGAGUUCUUAUCGUGUGACCUAAUAACAAUCCAAUUAAUUAUUGUAUUGAUCCAAAACUCUUUAUUUUUAUGUUUAUGUGUCGUGUUAACAAAUCAUGUAAAAAAAUGUCCGGUUUACUUUUCAACUUUAAAUUAUUAGUUCGUUCAAUGUUGGUGUCUCUUUGUCUUUUGGUUUAAAAAAUGCACCUGUCAACUAUCAUCGUCAUCGAAUAGUCUGUCAGUCUUCCAAGGAAACUUGUAAGUAUUUUCAUCCGGAACACUGCCAAAACCAAGACCACAAUUUCUGUCAAAGUAUUUCAUACACGUGAAUAAUUAUUGUGGUGCGAUUUCUGGAACGAGAAUUCUCUCCGAAUCCUCCGCUUUGUGAGGAUUCCGAAAAUUCUUUAAUCGUGUCUGUUUAUCAUAUAUGAUACGAUUAUUUUUUGUCAGAUACUUAUUAUCCACGACAGACAUGAAUAAUUUCCACACAAAGUAACUAAAACGAUGGGGUAUUACCUAAGAACCAAUGAAGUGAAACUUUGCUUGCUAUGUAUGGAUAUGCAUGCUAUAAGAAACCAUUCAUUUGUAGAUCAUAUUACGUCAUCAGUAUUAUACUCAUACUCUCAGGUGAUCAACCUACUACAUGAGGAAAACACGGAAAAGGCAAAGCAUAAAAGUAGAAGACAAUAUUUGAGCAUCUAGCAGGAAUAGUUAGUUUUUGAAAAAAAUUGCUAAACAGUCUUACAAAUUCAAUUGUUAAACGUUACACUAUGACCUAAGAUAAAAAUAAAGUAUAGGGAACUUUAACGAAAAACUCCCGGUACAGUUCACUUUAACGAAAAACCACAUUUUUACACUAAAAAGUCAAUUCUAAUACUAUUCUCUUUACCCUUUAUUUUGUCCUUAUCGUUAAAACUCAAAGUUUUCAAGUCAUUUUCAUUAGUUUUCCUUGAAGUUAUAUAGUUCAUUCACAUAUCAAAACGAAGUACUAUCAAAGGAAAAUGAUUAAGAAGUUGAAAAUACAAAACUGGAUUGGGCAACCAUAUCUUUUAUCGGUAACUAAACAAAUAAUUUAGAAUUGUACAAACCCGAUUCUAGCUCAUCUGCCUCCUCUCAUCCUCAGCUCUGUAUUUCAAAGGCUGAGUAGCCACGUUUGGAGAAGUUGUCAAAUAAUCACCAUCUGAAGAUUGAGAAUAACCUCCAUUCACAUUGCAAAUUUUUUUUUAGAAAAUGGGACAAAUUAACAGAUUUAGAGUUAAUUAUUCUGAUGCAAACAUUCUUAAGAUAAAUUAAGCAGAAAAAAUGAAACGAAUCCAAUGAAAAUAUAGAAGGAAAAUGAUUUAAAGAAAAGUUAAACUUUAAAUACAUCAAAUUAGUGAUUAAUCAACUAGAUAGUUAGUCUCAAACCAAAGAGUCUCAAUGAUCUCGCAAUACCAGGGACAUCACUCUCCCUGUUAACUCUCAACUCCUCAACUCCAUCACUCUCUCCCCCAUUGUUUCUAAUUCACCUCUCCUUCGAACUCUUCGACUACAAAUUUAUAUAUAGCAACUUGAACUGUCCAUUUCAAAUCAUAUAUACAUAGGCAAAAAAGCAAAAACUAAACUCCUGCCGCAUAAAUUAAUUGGUAACCAAACAAAGAAAAAUUCUUGGAGACCAGAACAAAUCCAAUUGAAUUUUCAUGAAACGUAUACUUAAGUGCCCAAAAUUUGAGUUUUACAUCAUAUUAUGUUCUUCUUACACAAACAGUUUCUCGGCUGUUAGGUAAUUUUUGUGGCUUUUGAUCAAUAGUUGUACUUAUAUACCCAAAAAAAUAAAAUAGUCAAACACAAAUGAAAGAAAGACCUAUCAAAUUAAUAAGAAAUCCAAGUUAGAGUUGUUAAAAUUCACUUUCAUCUAUACAAUUCAAACUUCGACAUAUUUGUUCAUACACUUCACCAACUGUCAGACACUGCUAAUUACCAAGAUAGCAAGAUAAUGAAUUCUGUGAACAAAAAAAUGAAAAAUGAUAUGCAAUUUGAACUUACAUGCCAAAGAAGCUCCAUAAGAGUAGUAGCUUCCUGCUUAUUGCAUGCAUCAAAAGCAUUGCAACCGCAGAUCCUGAAAAUUAUCAAAAUUCAUCCAGUCAAGAGGCAAUAUCAUAGUUGUGUGAAGGUGAAUAUGCAACCAAUAAUCUAAGAUAUACCUGACAAAUUUGCAAUUUCAUUAUAAUUUCACACAAAAAAAAGAUCAAAUUUUGAUUCAAACAUCAAACAAAAUAAUCCCAUCUGUUACAGAUUGGACCAACCAAAUAAAGAAUCUAUUAAUAUGAUUUUUGUGACAGCCCGUCCCUGAUUUUAAGAGUUUUAAAGUUUUAAUAAAGGAUUUACAAAAAUGCCCUUUGAGGCACGCGCAUUAUUCGAGGUUAAUCGUUGUGUCGUGCCAUCUAAGAUUUAUUUUCUUGACAUAUCCUCGUAGUAUUCGUCACUACGGACGUGUGGGCGCUGACGGUUCAUGAUUUGGAGUUAUAUCGAAAAAGUUAUUAACGUUUGAAAUUUGGGAUUUUAAGGAAUUAUAAUUUUAGUAAAAUUUAGAAUUUCUUUUAUGAAAAUGGACGGCCCAGAUUUAAUGAAGAAUUAAAUGGAUGGUUGGGAUGAGAGAAAGAAGGUUUUAUGUGUGUAAGUGUGUGUGCGUGACUGGUGAAGAAAGAAGAAGAAUGAGGAUUGGGCAAAACUGCCCAACCAGAAGGAAUAAGAAGACAGCUCCGGGAAAGAAAGGAGAGAAGUUGGGCGAAUGGGGAGAAGAGAGAGAAGCUUUUGGCCAAUCAGAGAAGGGGAAAGGAGGAAAGGAGAGAGGGCGAGAAGCGGAGGAAGAAGAACAGAAAUGGGUUUUCAACCCAUGACCCGCGCGACCCGGUGGGUUUUCCACCCAUUUCCGUCGAAAUUUCUUCACUUUUCCGGUGAGUUACUUCAAACUAUCACUUGGAAAACCCUCUAUGAUCUUCCCUCUUCCUAUUACACCCAAAAAAUCAAGGAAUUUGGCCUUGAAAUUGGUUGAAACUGUUCGGUGUGUGCGGUGGCUUAGUGUACAAAUUCUUCAAAUCUUGAAACGUUUUCUUUCAAUUACUAACACCUUUAGCAUUCCCUUAGGACCUAGAACAAAGCCCAAGCAUUGGUUGGGACGACGGAGUUGAUUUGAAGGUCGAAUUGAAAACACCCAAUCUAGGGUUCCACACGGAUUGUGGUGAAAUUGAAGUGUUUCCAGGCCAAAUUGGCCUUGGCCUCAGGUAUAAAGUUUACACUACUCACUGAGAUCUUCAAUUCUGUAUUUUUUUAGAAUUUUUGGAAAUAGUUGGAUUUUACGGUGAGCCGGGGCGGCCAACCGCCACCCUC